rnacentral:rRNA from 1 species
GAUGAACGCUGGCGGCGUGCUUAACACAUGCAAGUCGAACGGAAAGGCUCCUGCUUGCAGGGGUACUCGAGUGGCGAACGGGUGAGUAACACGUGGGUGAUCUGCCCUGCACUUCGGGAUAAGCCUGGGAAACUGGGUCUAAUACCGGAUAGGACGAUGGUUUGGAUGCCAUUGUGGAAAGUUUUUCGGUGUGGGAUGAGCUCGCGGCCUAUCAGCUUGUUGGUGGGGUAAUGGCCUACCAAGGCGUCGACGGGUAGCCGGCCUGAGAGGGUGUACGGCCACAUUGGGACUGAGAUACGGCCCAGACUCCUACGGGAGGCAGCAGUGGGGAAUAUUGCACAAUGGGCGCAAGCCUGAUGCAGCGACGCCGCGUGGGGGAUGACGGCCUUCGGGUUGUAAACUCCUUUCGCUAGGGACGAAGCGCAAGUGACGGUACCUGGAGAAGAAGCACCGGCUAACUAC